CUUCUAUAUUCGCCGACACUUUUUGGCUGUUAAGUAGCAGCUUUUCUCUAGCUAAACUGUUCUGCUAAUCUGCUAGGUUCUUUGUAAUAUUGUGCCAGCUAAAAUUCAGAUAUCUUGAUGAGAAAUGUCAAUUGGCUACAGUUUCUAAUGUAGCUAAUAACAUGAAAAAAUGUUAAAAAAAGGUGAAUUGGUUACUUUUUUUAAAUGCAGCUAAUAGCAUGAAAAAGUGUUACUAUAAGAUUUUAACGACAUAGGGUAUAUACUGCAUUUGGAAAAGUGUCACUAAAAGCAACAACGACAUUUGAAUGUGAUUUAGUUACACUUGUUAAAUAUAACUAAAUCUCUUAUGUGUAGUAGUUUGCACAUGUGUAUUUGACUUGUUUGGUUUCUUUAUAAUUAUGGCUACCGCUUGUGCUUUGAAAUCUAACUCUUCUGGUACUAUUGGAGAAUGGACCAUUCCAAUUUCUAGGGAAAUUGGAUCCUCCAAAAGUAGGAUGUGAUUCUUACUCUUUUCAGUGAUGAUUCCAAGAAACUAGUAGUUUGAGCCCUUUUUUUUUGUGUGUGUGUGGGUGUGGGGGUGGUUCUUGGGGGCAGUAUCGUUCUGCAUAAUUAUUAAUGCAGCAUAGUAAUAUAUAACCCCUGAGAGCACAAAUGCUACUGUGGGUGCAAACAUAGAGGACCCCUUUAUUUAGUACCUCUGAUCUCUGAUCUUUGACAUUCAGAUCUAUGCAUAUGUGGUUUUUAGGGAGUAAGGACUGGGUUUUGUUUUUUUAGGAUUUGCCUUUUUCUGUUUUGUUGGAUUUGGGCAGCCACAGGAAGGCUGUCAUGUUUGAGAGGGUAAUUGUUGAUGGAGCUUCCAGUUCCGGAAUUGCCAUUGCAUCCUAAGAAUAGAUAAAACAUUCAGUGGAAUGUAGGGCUCCUUCAAAUGCUUCCCAUAAUUCUGUUACUCACAACUUGUGUUGAUCCGGUCAGCUCCAUUUCAAGGGUUUUUAUUUGAAUUUUGAUCAUCAAUGCAAAUUUGACUGCCAUGCAUCCACCUCGUAGCUAUAGCUAUUAUCCAUUUUGACACUUAUCUCAUCUUAUCUGUCAAGUGCUCGAAUUUUGUUUAUUUCAUCUGAGUUGUGAAGAAUAGGGUGGAGAAAUAUGUUGUUCUAGUAAAAAAGAGUGAACACUUCUUUCUUUGGGAAUUAUUAAAAUGAAUUUCAUCAUUUUUUAUGUAGUCACACCAUGCCUUCAGAAUAUCUGGGUCAUACCUAAUUGACUGUCUAAGUUUGAGGUUUUCCUUUUAAGUUUUGAUCUGUCUGUACAUAAACCUCACUGUUUGAUGCAUAUAACCUCUGGCUACAUUUACGUUUGACUCAUUAAAAGGAAAACCUUACUGUACCUGAUACUUCCUUAACUAGAAUUAAUCUUUUACAUGGGAAAGAUCAAUAAUAUAAUCACUAAUGUUAUCUUCACACACACUUUUAAUUUUAAUUCUCUCUUUUUAACUCUUUCACCUGAUAUACGAAGUCUCUCUUCCAAAGAGUGCAGUGGCUCAUUUCACUUCUUGUUGUGUUAAUUCUUGCUCAGAUUCUAUAUGCGGUUCUAGUGUAGCAUCUCCAUUGUCAUGUUUAUUUUUCAUGAGAGUGGAUCUUAUAAUCCCAUCUAUAUCUCUUGGUUUCAUGUAUUCCAAUGAAUUUGGCCAUCUUCAUAGUGUUAAUGGUUCUUUCUUGUGAUUUCUUCUGGCAUUUAUGCAUACAGUUGCUUUUUAAGUCACAAUAGUUUCCUCAUGUGUCCAAGAAGAGCUAAAUUUGAUUCACUGAAUAACAUUGGCAAACCAGGACUUUUAUGGUACUUGCCAGGACAGGGUUGAUAUGCAUUUUUGAAAUUAAAAAGUGUGAUCCAAAUUCCAUGAAGUUGCUUUUGGCUUAGCUAAAGAUUUGCUUUUUUAACUUCUCCAAUCAUUUAAAAGUGUUUUAGGUAAGGUUAAGGACUUCCUAGAAGUGAUGUCGGACGCAAAUAAACGACUAGAACUUGAUGAGAAGUUCAAAAUUUCUUCUGUAUAUAUUUGGAAUAUUCAUCUUUGUUUUGUCCAACAGCAUUUUUGGGGCUGCUGGUGAGGUUUACUCUGCUUCAGCCUUCAACUUGAUAAAAACUUGAGAUCACACUCCCAGAGCAAAGAGAUUACUGAUGCUGAUAUCUUAAACUGGGAAAACAAUAAAGUGAAGAAAGCCUGAAGAACUUCUGAAAUGGAUAGUUUCAAGGUUACCUAAUAAUUAUACAGGCAUUGUUUUUGCAACCAAGUGUUGGUUAGUGAAUCGAG